AUACCUAAACGUUGCUUCGGCGGGAACAGACGGCCCCGUGAAACGGGCCGCCCCCGCCAGAGGACCCCUAACUCUGUUUCUAUAAUGUUUCUUCUGAGUAAAACAAGCAAAUAAAUUAAAACUUUCAACAACGGAUCUCUUGGCUCUGGCAUCGAUGAAGAACGCAGCGAAAUGCGAUAAGUAAUGUGAAUUGCAGAAUUCAGUGAAUCAUCGAAUCUUUGAACGCACAUUGCGCCCGCCAGUAUUCUGGCGGGCAUGCCUGUUCGAGCGUCAUUACAACCCUCAGGCCCCCGGGCCUGGCGUUGGGGAUCGGCGGAGCCCCCCGUGGGCACACGCCGUCCCCCAAAUACAGUGGCGGUCCCGCCGCAGCUUCCAUCGCGUAGUAGCUAACACCUCGCGACUGGAGAGCGGCGCGGCCACGCCGUAAAACACCCAACUCUUCUGAAGUUGACCUCGAAUCAGGUAGGAAUACCCGCUGAACUUAAGCAUAUC
rnacentral:sRNA from 1 species